GAUGAACGCUGGCGGCGUGCCUAAUACAUGCAAGUCGAGCGAACAGACGAGGAGCUUGCUCCUCUGACGUUAGCGGCGGACGGGUGAGUAACACGUGGAUAACCUACCUAUAAGACUGGGACAACUUCGGGAAACCGGAGCUAAUACCGGAUAAUAUCUUGAACCGCAUGGUUCAAUAGUGAAAGACGGUUUUGCUGUCACUUAUAGAUGGAUCCGCGCCGCAUUAGCUAGUUGGUAAGGUAACGGCUUACCAAGGCGACGAUGCGUAGCCGACCUGAGAGGGUGAUCGGCCACACUGGAACUGAGACACGGUCCAGACUCCUACGGGAGGCAGCAGUAGGGAAUCUUCCGCAAUGGGCGAAAGCCUGACGGAGCAACGCCGCGUGAGUGGUGAAGGUCUUCGGAUCGUAAAACUCUGUUAUUAGGGAAGAACAAAUGUGUAAGUAACUAUGCACGUCUUGACGGUACCUAAUCAGAAAGCCACGGCUAACUACGUG
rnacentral:rRNA from 1 species